rnacentral:rRNA from 2 species
UCGAACGAACUCUGGUAUUGAUUGGUGCUUGCAUCAUGAUUUACAUUUGAGUGAGUGGCGAACUGGUGAGUAACACGUGGGAAACCUGCCCAGAAGCGGGGGAUAACACCUGGAAACAGAUGCUAAUACCGCAUAACAACUUGGACCGCAUGGUCCGAGCUUGAAAGAUGGCUUCGGCUAUCACUUUUGGAUGGUCCCGCGGCGUAUUAGCUAGAUGGUGGGGUAACGGCUCACCAUGGCAAUGAUACGUAGCCGACCUGAGAGGGUAAUCGGCCACAUUGGGACUGAGACACGGCCCAAACUCCUACGGGAGGCAGCAGUAGGGAAUCUUCCACAAUGGACGAAAGUCUGAUGGAGCAACGCCGCGUGAGUGAAGAAGGGUUUCGGCUCGUAAAACUCUGUUGUUAAAGAAGAACAUAUCUGAGAGUAACUGUUCAGGUAUUGACGGUAUUUAACCAGAAAGCCACGGCUAACUACGUGCCAGCAGCCGCGGUAAUACGUAGGUGGCAAGCGUUGUCCGGAUUUAUUGGGCGUAAAGCGAGCGCAGGCGGUUUUUUAAGUCUGAUGUGAAAGCCUUCGGCUCAACCGAAGAAGUGCAUCGGAAACUGGGAAACUUGAGUGCAGAAGAGGACAGUGGAACUCCAUGUGUAGCGGUGAAAUGCGUAGAUAUAUGGAAGAACACCAGUGGCGAAGGCGGCUGUCUGGUCUGUAACUGACGCUGAGGCUCGAAAGUAUGGGUAGCAAACAGGAUUAGAUACCCUGGUAGUCCAUACCGUAAACGAUGAAUGCUAAGUGUUGGAGGGUUUCCGCCCUUCAGUGCUGCAGCUAACGCAUUAAGCAUUCCGCCUGGGGAGUACGGCCGCAAGGCUGAAACUCAAAGGAAUUGACGGGGGCCCGCACAAGCGGUGGAGCAUGUGGUUUAAUUCGAAGCUACGCGAAGAACCUUACCAGGUCUUGACAUACUAUGCAAAUCUAAGAGAUUAGACGUUCCCUUCGGGGACAUGGAUACAGGUGGUGCAUGGUUGUCGUCAGCUCGUGUCGUGAGAUGUUGGGUUAAGUCCCGCAACGAGCGCAACCCUUAUUAUCAGUUGCCAGCAUUAAGUUGGGCACUCUGGUGAGACUGCCGGUGACAAACCGGAGGAAGGUGGGGAUGACGUCAAAUCAUCAUGCCCCUUAUGACCUGGGCUACACACGUGCUACAAUGGAUGGUACAACGAGUUGCGAACUCGCGAGAGUAAGCUAAUCUCUUAAAGCCAUUCUCAGUUCGGAUUGUAGGCUGCAACUCGCCUACAUGAAGUCGGAAUCGCUAGUAAUCGCGGAUCAGCAUGCCGCGGUGAAUACGUUCCCGGGCCUUGUACACACCGCCCGUCACACCAUGAGAGUU